rnacentral:rRNA from 1 species
UUUUGUGUUGUAGCUCUCCCUCUCAGGAUGAACGCUGGCGGCGUGCCUAAUACAUGCAAGUCGAGCGAAUGGAUUAAGAGCUUGCUCUUAUGAAGUUAGCGGCGGACGGGUGAGUAACACGUGGGUAACCUGCCCAUAAGACUGGGAUAACUCCGGGAAACCGGGGCUAAUACCGGAUAACAUUUUGAACCGCAUGGUUCGAAAUUGAAAGGCGGCUUCGGCUGUCACUUAUGGAUGGACCCGCGUCGCAUUAGCUAGUUGGUGAGGUAACGGCUCACCAAGGCAACGAUGCGUAGCCGACCUGAGAGGGUGAUCGGCCACACUGGGACUGAGACACGGCCCAGACUCCUACGGGAGGCAGCAGUAGGGAAUCUUCCGCAAUGGACGAAAGUCUGACGGAGCAACGCCGCGUGAGUGAUGAAGGCUUUCGGGUCGUAAAACUCUGUUGUUAGGGAAGAACAAGUGCUAGUUGAAUAAGCUGGCACCUUGACGGUACCUAACCAGAAAGCCACGGCUAACUACGUGCCAGCAGCCGCGGUAAUACGUAGGUGGCAAGCGUUAUCCGGAAUUAUUGGGCGUAAAGCGCGCGCAGGUGGUUUCUUAAGUCUGAUGUGAAAGCCCACGGCUCAACCGUGGAGGGUCAUUGGAAACUGGGAGACUUGAGUGCAGAAGAGGAAAGUGGAAUUCCAUGUGUAGCGGUGAAAUGCGUAGAGAUAUGGAGGAACACCAGUGGCGAAGGCGACUUUCUGGUCUGUAACCUGA